rnacentral:rRNA from 1 species
GAUGAACGCUGGCGGCGUGCCUAAUACAUGCAAGUCGAGCGAACGGACGAGAAGCUUGCUUCUCUGAUGUUAGCGGCGGACGGGUGAGUAACACGUGGAUAACCUACCUAUAAGACUGGGAUAACUUGGGGAAACCGGAGCUAAUACCGUAUAAUAUUUUGAACCGCAUGGUUCAAAAGUGAAAGACGGUCUUGCUGUCACUAAUAGAUGGAUCCGCGCUGCAUUAGCUAGUUGGUAAGGUAACGGCUUACCAAGGCAACGAGGCAUAGCCGACCUGAGAGGGUGACCGGCCACCCGGGAACUGAGACACGGUCCAGACUCCUACGGGAGGCAGCAGUAGGGAAUCUUCCGCAAUGGGCGAAAGCCUGACGGAGCAACGCCGCGUGAGUGAUGAAGGUCUUCGGAUCGUAAAACUCUGUUAUUAGGGAAGAACAUAUGUGUAAGUAACUGUGCACAUCUUGACGGUACCUAAUCAGAAAGCCACGGCUAACUACGUG